rnacentral:lncRNA from 10 species
CAGAAGAGAGAUAAUAGCAUUGAUCUCUUUAGAGUGGUGAUGGGAAUAGCUUGAGAGGAGCUCACAAGAGCAUGUGUCUACAACAGCAAGUGAUACAGCAUCUGCCAGAAUUCCUUGUGAUCCAGACCGGGAGAAGGAGGAAGGGGAAAAGAGCAAAAGCAGAUUCCUACUUAGAACACAUUGACCAGGACGGAGUUCCACGGCCACCCCAGCUGUGACGGAAGUGAAGAAUGAGGCACUUUGGCUCUAAUCUCUAUGAUGGAGGCUGGCAUAAAGGAAUAUUGCUGGA